UACGAAGGGGGCUAGCGUUGCUCGGAAUCACUGGGCGUAAAGGGUGCGUAGGCGGGUCUUUAAGUCAGGGGUGAAAUCCUGGAGCUCAACCCCAGAACUGCCUUUGAUACUGAAGAUCUUGAGUCCGGGAGAGGUGAGUGGAACUGCGAGUGUAGAGGUGAAAUUCGUAGAUAUUCGCAAGAACACCAGUGGCGAAGGCGGCUCACUGGCCCGGUACUGACGCUGAGGCACGAAAGCGUGGGGAGCAAACAGG
rnacentral:rRNA from 1 species